rnacentral:lncRNA from 1 species
AGCGAGGGCAGAGGCCCCCACGGGUAGGGCAGCAGAGAUGGCCAGGAAUAGUUGGAUUGGGGUAUUUUUCGGAGCUGGAGUCUACACAGUUUGAUGUCAGAUUGGGUGGGGAAGGUGAGGGAGAGGGUGAUGAGGAAGAGGAGGAGGAGGAGGAGGAGGAGAGGCACAGAGUGUGGCCUGGAAGCCCCUUCCUCAGUCUGUUUGCACAGCUGUCCAGGCCUGGCUGGGCAGGGAGGGAGUGAGUCAUGGGUUUCCGGUUCACCAACCCCCACCUCCAGGGCAGGACAAGGUGCCUGCAGGUACAGAGUUUGGUGAUGAAGUCUCCCCUGGGGAAGCUCCUCCUCUCUCCCUCCUCCCCAGCC